rnacentral:rRNA from 1 species
AUUGAACGCUGGCGGCAGGCCUAACACAUGCAAGUCGAGCGGAUGAACGGUGCGUGCUCCUUGAUUCAGCUGCCGACUGGCGAGUAAUUGCUAGAAACCUCCGUGUUAGUUUUUUAUUACGUCCUGAAACAGGCGCUAAUACGGCAUACGUCCUUAGGGACUAAGUGUGGAAUCUUCGGACCUUCCGCUAUCGCGUGAUCCUAUGUCGGAUUAGCUAGUUGGUGGGGUAAAGGCCUACCAAGGCGACGAUCCGUAACUGGUCUGAGAGGAUGAUCAGUCACACUGGAACUGAGACACGGUCCAGACUCCUACGGGAGGCAGCAGUGGGGAAUAUUGGACAAUGGGCGCAAGCCUGAUCCAGCCAUGCCGCGUGUGUGAAGAAGGUCUUCGGAUUGUAAAGCCCUUUAGGUUGGGAAGAAGAGCAGUAAGUUAAUACCCUGCUGUUUUGACGUUACCCAAAGAAUAAGCACCGGCUAACUUCGUG